GAUGAACGCUGGCGGCGUGCCUAAUACAUGCAAGUCGAGCGAACAGACGAGGAGCUUGCUCCUCUGACGUUAGCGGCGGACGGGUGAGUAACACGUGGAUAACCUACCUAUAAGACUGGGAUAACUUCGGGAAACCGGAGCUAAUACCGGAUAAUAUAUUGAACCGCAUGGUUCAAUAGUGAAGGACGGUUUUGCUGUCACUUAUAGAUGGAUCCGCGCCGCAUUAGCUAGUUGGUAAGGUAACGGCUUACCAAGGCAACGAUGCGUAGCCGACCUGAGAGGGUGAUCGGCCACACUGGAACUGAGACACGGUCCAGACUCCUACGGGAGGCAGCAGUAGAGAAUCUUCCGCAAUGGGCGAAAGCUUGACGGAGCAACGCCGCGUGAGUGAUGAAGGUCUUCGGAUCGUAAAACUCUGUUAUUAGGGAAGAACAAAUGUGUAAGUAACUAUGCACGUCUUGACGGUACCUAAUCAGAAAGCCACGGCUAACUACGUG
rnacentral:rRNA from 1 species